UCCUGGACAAGCGCUCCGUAGUUUCUGCGCUCUAGGUCUGCUACCUGGUGAAACUCGACUUUCAGGACAAGCGCUCCGUAGUUUCUGGUUAGCGGUCGUUGAAGGUGGUUGCGGGUGAUCAAGGCGAACGAGGAUUUGUGCGCGGUAUAACCCAAGGUGGUUAGCUGUGGUCGUUGGAGGUGGUUGGCGGUGGUUGGAGAUGGUCGAAGGUGGUUAGAGGUGGUUAUGGGUGAUUGUGCGGGACAAGGAGGAAGACAAGGAGGAGAAGGACGCGGAUUUAUGCAUGGUAUAACUCGAGGUGGUUGGCGGUUUUCGUUGGAGGUGGUCGGAGGUGG